GAUUUAUUGAUCAUGGCUCAGAUUGACCGCUGGCGUGACAAGGCCUAACACAUGCAAGUCGAGCGGAUGAUGGGAGCUUGCUCCCGGAUUCAGCGGCGGACGGGUGAGUAAUGCCUAGGAAUCUGCCUGGUAGUGGGGGACAACGUUUCGAAAGGAACGCUAAUACCGCAUACGUCCUACGGGAGAAAGCAGGGGACCUUCGGGCCUUGCGCUAUCAGAUGAGCCUAGGUCGGAUUAGCUAGUUGGUGGGGUAAAGGCCUACCAAGGCGACGAUCCGUAACUGGUCUGAGAGGAUGAUCAGUCACACUGGAACUGAGACACGGUCCAGACUCCUACGGGAGGCAGCAGUGGGGAAUAUUGGACAAUGGGCGAAAGCCUGAUCCAGCCAUGCCGCGUGUGUGAAGAAGGUCUUCGGAUUGUAAAGCACU
rnacentral:rRNA from 1 species